rnacentral:lncRNA from 1 species
CCGCGCCCAAAAAUAACCGCCCGAAGGCCGUGGCGCCAAGUUCGUUCAGCGGAAAAAGGCCACAAAAACGGGUGGGCUAUAGCCUUGGGGGGUGGGGCUGGGCAACUUCGUCCGCCGGACUCAGAAUGCCGUGAGGCUUUGCGAGGGGCCUCCGUGUGCCAAAAACAGACCGCGGGCAAAGCCGCGCCCAAAAAUAACCGCCCGAAGGCCGGGGCCCCAAGUUCGUCCAGCGGAAAAAGGCGACAAAAACGGAUGGGCUAUACCCUCGAGGGGUGGGGCUGGCCAACUUCGUCCGCCGGACUCGGAAUGCCGCGAGACAUUGCGAGGGUCCUCCGUGUGCCAAAAAUAGGGCGCGGGCAAAGCCGCGCCCAAAAAUAACAGCCCGAAGGCCGGGGCGCCAAGUUCGUCCAGCGGAAAGGGCCACAAAAACGGGUGGGCUGCACCCUCGGGGGGUGGGGCUGGCCCACUUCGUCCGCCGGACUCGGAAUGCCGCGAGACUUUGCGAGGGUCCUCCGUGUACCAAAAAUAGGCCGCGGACAAAGCCGCGCCAAGAAAUAACCGGCCGAAGGCCGGGGAACCAAGUUCGUCCAGCGGAAAAAGGCCACAAAAACGGGUGGGCUAUAGCCUUGGGGGGUGGGGCUGGCCAACUUCGUCCGCCGGACUCGGAAGGCCGCGAGACUUUGCGAGGGGUCUCCGUGUGCCAAAAAUAGGCCACGGGCAAAGCCGCACCCAAAAAUAACCGCCCGAAGGCCGGGGCGCCACGUUCGUCCAGCGGAAAAAGGCCACCAAAACGGGUGGGCUAUAGCCUUGGGGGGUGGGGCUGGCCAACUUCGUCCGCCGGACUCGGAAUGCCGCGAGACAUUGCGAGGGACCUACGUGUGAAAAAAAUAAUCCGCGGGCAAAGCCGCGCCCAAAAAUAACCACCCGAAGGCCAGUGCGCCAAGUUCGUCCAGCGGUAAAAGGCCACAAAAACGGGUGGGCUAUAGCCUUGGGGGGUGGGGCUGGCCAACUUUGUCCGCCGGACUCGGAAUGCCGCGAGACCUUGCGAGGGUCCUCCAUGUGCUAAAAAUAGGCCGCGGGCAAAGCCGCACCCAAAAAUAACCGCCCGAAGGCCGGGGCGCCACGUUCGACCAGCGGAAAAAGGCCACAAAAACGGGUGGGCUAUAGCCUUGGGGGGUGGGGCUGGCCAACUUCGUCCGCCGGACUCGGAAUGCUGCGAGACUUUGCGAGGGGCCUCCGUGUGCCAAAAAUAGGCCGCGGGUAAAGCCGCGCCCAAAAAUAACUGCCCGAAGGCCGGGGCGCCAAGUUCGUUCAGCGGUAAAAGGCCACAAAAACGGGUGGGCUAUAGCCUUGGGGGGUGGGGCUGGCCAACUUCGUCCGCCGGACUCGGAAUGCUGCGAGACUUUGCGAGGGGCCUCCGUGUGCCAAAAAUAGGCCGCGGACAAAGCCGCGCCCAAAAAUAACUGCCCGAAGGCCGGGGCGCCAAGUUCGUUCAGCGGAAAAGGCCACAAAAACGGGUG